AUGUAUUGUUACCAAGAAGGACUGCCAAAAAAAUUAUUGGGUUCUCAUCCUUGCCUUUGCCAGUCUUGGUGGGCAACUGAAAAAUACAGAGCACAGAAGAUUGGAUUAAAUCAGGAGUUUCUAAAUGUUUCAGCUUGUUGACCUUUUCAUGAAGACUUCAUCAACCUCCAAACAUUUAUUAUAUGAAAAUAAUUUAAUAAAUACUACUUUAAUAGUACUAUUAGUAACAGCAAUAGCAACAAUGAAUAGUCUCAUCGACCCUUGGAAGUUGACCUUGACCACUUGGGGUCUUUGGAUUCUGGACUAGAUGGUCUUUUCUGAUUGGAUAGUUUGGAGCAAAGAUUGAACACAUAGAAUGAUACUGAACUCCAAGUGCCAUCACACCUAGCCACCACGAACAAAGACUAUGGCAGUUGCAUUCCAACAGUAUCUGGAGCUGCAGUUCAACAACAUGACAGCGAGUUUGCUAUAGUGAUUAAGAUAUCAGGCUAGUAACCAGGAAACCUAAAUUCUAGUCCUGCCUUAGGCAAAAAGCCAGCUGAAUGACCUCAGGCCAGUUCCUCUCUGUCAUCCCUAGGAAAAUAGCAAAUUACUUCUGAAAAACUUGCCAAGAAAAGGACUGGUCCAAGCAGUAUCCAGGAAUCAAUACUGACUCAAAGGCACACACUCACACAAUAUCCAACAACAUCCCUGGAAGGGUAUCUCAAGUUAAACAACUGUGCUAGAGUGCUAAUAUUUAAAAAUAGCAUUUAGACUAUUCACAA